CCUUAUUUUCUCUUGCUGCUGCUGCGUAAGAAACGCCUUUCGCCUCCCGCCAUGAUUCUGAGGCCUCCCCAGCCACGUGGAACUGUAAGUCCAAUUAAACUUCUUUUUCUUCCCAGUCUCCGGUAUGUCUUUAUCAGCAGCAUGAAAACAAGACUAAUACACCCCCACACCAUGGUACCGAAGACGGGACACAGCUGCUCUACUGAUUAAAUUCAACUGACGUGAGGUUGCAGCUAUUCUAUUCAUAUAUUCACCAUCCCAUUCUUGAUGAUGUUCCUCAAGCUUACUUAACUUGCACGUGGAUGCAGAAGAAAGGUUUCUUUUGAAAGACUGUUGUAAAUAAAAGAGUCUGUAGUGCUUAUGUUGUUGUUUGUUGACUGACUAUAAAAUAGAUCCUUGCUGAUUUGUACAUUUGAUUUCCCAUGGGGCAGUAACAAUAUGAAAGUAGGAUUAAGGCCGGGCACGGUGGCUCACCCCUGUAAUCCCAGCACUUUGGGAGGCCGAGGCAGGUGUAUCACUUGAGGUCAGGCGUUAGAGACCAGCCUGACCAACAUGGUGAAACUCCAUCCCUACUAAAAAUACAAAAAUUAGCCAGGCGUGGUGGCACGUGCCUGUAGUCCCAGCUACUCAGGAGGCUGAGGCAGGAGAAUCGCUUGAACCCGGGAGGCAAAAGUUGCAGUGAUCCAGGAUCAUGCCACUGUGCAGCAGCCAGAGUAACAGAGUAAGACUCCGUCUCAAAAAAAAAAAAAAAAGAAAAAGAAAAAAGUAGGAUUAUUAUGUGUUUUUCCACACUAUUGUCUUACUGUCUUUGUUCCCCUUCCUAAGUGUUCUUUUCGAAUCGCACCAGGAGAGGGUUAGGAUCACGGUAAUAAGCCAACCCCAGGAAUGUCUCCCAUAACACAUGAAUUAAGUCAGCUGUGGCUUUUUAACACGCUUCGCCCAGUGGCUCCAGGUGCAGAGCGGGGCGGGCAGGAAGGGUCCCAAAGGACCAUGAGGCAGUGCAACUCCUGACCGUGCACUGAGCUUUAAGAGCCUCAGUGCCUGGAUUUGAGAAUUCCAACCUCGGCAUUGCAG
rnacentral:lncRNA from 1 species